rnacentral:misc_RNA from 1 species
UAACCCCUCAAGCCUAGCUUGGUGUUGGGGCCUGCCGCACCGGCAGCCCUUAAAAUCAGUGGCGGCGCCGUCGGGCUCUAAGCGUAGUAAUUCUUCUCGCUAUAGAGUCCUGGUGGAUGCUAGCCAUAACCCCCAACUUUCUAU